rnacentral:rRNA from 1 species
GACGAACGCUGGCGGCGUGCUUAACACAUGCAAGUCGAACGGUAAGGCCCUUCGGGGUACACGAGUGGCGAACGGGUGAGUAACACGUGGGUGAUCUGCCCUGCACUUCGGGAUAAGCCUGGGAAACUGGGUCUAAUACCGGAUAGGACCAUUGCCUGCAUGGGUGGUGGUGGAAAGCUUUUGCGGUGUGGGAUGGGCCCGCGGCCUAUCAGCUUGUUGGUGGGGUGAUGGCCUACCAAGGCGACGACGGGUAGCCGGCCUGCGAGGGUGACCGGCCACACUGGGACUGGGAGACGGCCCAGACUCCUACGGGAGGCAGCAGUGGGGAAUAUUGCACAAUGGGCGCAAGCCUGAUGCAGCGACGCCGCGGGAGGGAUGACGGCCUUCGGGUUGUAAACCUCUUUCAGCACCGACGAAGCGCAAGUGACGGUAGGUGCAGAAGAAGGACCGGCCAACUACGUGCCAGCAGCCGCCGUAA